GUCUAAGGCCAUACCACCUUGAAUGCGCCGAAUCUCAUCUGAUCUCAGAAGCUACACAGAGCCAAGCCUAGUUAGUACUUAGACA
rnacentral:rRNA from 1 species